AAACGGGGAUUAAUACCGCAUAAUAUGCCGAAGUCGCAUGACUUUGGUAUUAAAGCAGCAAUGCACCUAGAGAUGAGUGUGCGUCCAUUAGGUAGUUGGUGAGGUAACGGCUCACCAAGCCUAUGAUGGGUAGCCGGUCUGAGAGGAUGGUCGGCCACACGGGCACUGAGACACGGGCCCGACUCCUACGGGAGGCAGCAGUAAGGAAUAUUGGUCAAUGGUGGAAACACUGAACCAGCCAUGCCGCGUGGAGGAAUAAGGUCCUACGGAUUGUAAACUCCUUUUGACGAGGAAGAAAAUGUUAGAUUUAUCUAAUUUUGACGGUACUCGUAGAAUAAGCACCGGCUAACUCCGUG
rnacentral:rRNA from 1 species